rnacentral:misc_RNA from 1 species
CCCCUGAUGUCAUGACAAAUUUAUCCUCGCUUGGACCACCGAUGCAGUCUGGCCCAUUGAACGAUGGAGUCAUGAAGUAGCCCUCGUCUCUUUCAUCAUACCAAUAGAGGUCAUUUUGCAAAUCAAGACCAGGGUAAUCACGUGCUGUGCCAAACUGAGACAACCUAUCUGAUGAUGUUUCUGAAUUAUCUUGAGAUCCAGAACAAAGUCCAUAUGGAUUUGUAAAUUCUGAAGAGCACAAAUCACUAGUAGAAGAUUUCAAGCUAACAAACUCCUCAUCCGAGCCAGACCCAGAACU